AGUUUACCUGCUCCAAAUAACUUACAUAAAUAGUUUUACUAUCUUUAUUUCAGCGCAUAUUUUCUUAUCAUAACAUUUUUGUCACAAGUCCCCAAUUCACAAUACAAGCAAUUUCACAAAAUGUUAUCGCUUCAUAAUUUCACGAUUACCUUCACUGUGAUAUUGUUGACCUAAAAAUGUGUAUUACAAAAGUGGGGUCGUAGAAGUAACGGUGGGUUUGAGGUCUAUUUAGAAAAUCAAACAAUCACUGUUUGGGUAGGUAUUCUUUGAAAUCCAAUUGUUGGGUCGGUAAUGGCCUAAUGGGCAUUCAAGAAGUUUUAACAGCGGAAUUAUAUUACAAUCUAUUGAAAGAAGUGAUAGCCCCACAGAUCACACUCUUUGGAGAGUGGAAAACAAUGAAGACAUGCUACUAGACGUAUAAAAUUUGCAGUUUCAGCAAGAUGGGGCUCCGCCACAUUAUAAUCUCCUGUCAAAUGGAUUGGAAGAGGAGGUCUCCUACCCUGCACCGGAAUUCUGAUUGUUAUCAGAAUUAUAUUUGUUUUCUUUUGUAUCGUAUGCAUGUAUUCAGUUGUAAGUAGCUAAUAAAAGUCAUUAUUAUUA